rnacentral:rRNA from 1 species
UAAGGAAUCUUCCGCAAUGGGCGAAAGCCUGACGGAGCAACGCCGCGUGAGUGAUGAAGGUCUUCGGAUCGUAAAACUCUGUUAUUAGGGAAGAACAAAUGUGUAAGUAACUAUGCACGUCUUGACGGUACCUAUCAGAAAGCCACGGCUAACUACGUGCCAGCAGCCGCGGUAAUACGUAGGUGGCAAGCGUUAUCCGGAAUUAUUGGGCGUAAAGCGCGCGUAGGCGGUUUUUUAAGUCUGAUGUGAAAGCCCACGGCUCAACCGUGGAGGGUCAUUGGAAACUGGAAAACUUGAGUGCAGAAGAGGAAAGUGGAAUUCCAUGUGUAGCGGUGAAAUGCGCAGGGAUAUGGAGGAACACCAGUGGCGAAGGCGACUUUCUGGUCUGUAACUGACGCUGAUGUGCGAAAGCGUGGGGAUCAAACAGG